rnacentral:rRNA from 1 species
UAAUUAGAUUUGGUUACAGAGAAAAAAAAAUAUAAAUUUUUUAUGAAUUUAUUAAAAAAUAAUUGACAGAAAAUAAGUUUUAUUUAAUAAUUAAAAGUUAUUGAAAUUUAUAAAAUAAAUUAGCUAAUU